rnacentral:lncRNA from 1 species
GCGGGGCUUACUGCUGAUGCUAGACUGUUAUGUAAUUUUAUGCGUCAGGAGUGUUUGGAUUCCAGAUUUGUAUUCGAUAGACCACUGCCUGUGUCUCGUCUUGUAUCUCUAAUUGGAAGCAGUAUCCUUUUUAUGUUAGCAUUUAUGGAUAUGAACUUUGAAGGGUUUUGAUACUUGUGUUAAUUAUUAGGAAUAUAAUAAUAAUAUGACAUAGGUAAGAUUGUGAAAACUUUAAAACAACAAAUUGGAUUGCUCUUUCAUUAGCCUUUAUAAGCAAUUUAUAUUUGCUAGACACAAAUAAGCCCAACUUCAGGAAAAUCAUCUAAGCAUCUUUUUAGAGGGGAUUUAAAGUUUCUUAAUGGUUCUAGAUGUCCCAAGAAAUCCUAGACCCCUUGUAUCCAAAACAAAUCAGGUUUUAGAUGGGAAGAAAUUAUUUUGCUGGCACUCUUUCUUAGGUUCGGUAGAAAGUCAAACAUUUUAUAUUAGGCCAAAGAAAUAGUGUCCUAUUGCAUUAUUUCUCUGGUGGAUUAUGCAACAAUUAAAGAAUAAGCCAGAGACCUUUGUUAAUAAUGUAUAAUUUGAAAAUAAAGACAGUACUUCAUUCCUUGUUAAAACAAGCUCGUUAACCAGUCUAAGAGACCCAGAUACCAACACAACGAUAUGGCCGGAGACCAUAUGGUGUUGGUCUCCUUAUUGCUGGUUAUGAUGAUAUGGGCCCUCACAUUUUCCAAACCUGUCCAUCU